CCCCUCUCAGGAUCGCACUUGGAGAGUUUCCAGAACUCUACCAGGCUCAGCUACAGGGGGGAAAGUCAAGCAGAAGUAUUCCCAUUCCAUUCCCAGUCUGAGCAGUGGCUAGCUAGUGGAAGGUGAUCUGCUAGAAGU